ensembl:rRNA 5S_rRNA 5S ribosomal RNA
GGCCACAGCCAUAUCACCCUGCAGCCCAAGACUGGUUGCCCACUGAAGCUAAGCAGGGUUGAGCCUGGUCAGUACCUGGAUCAUGGGAGACCUCCUGGGAAAACUAGGUUGCUGUUGGAA